rnacentral:rRNA from 1 species
UACGUAGGGGGCAAGCGUUGUCCGGAUUUAUUGGGCGUAAAGAGCGUGUAGGCGGCCAAGCAGGUCUGCUGUGAAAACUCGAGGCUCAACCUCGAGACGUCGGUGGAAACCGUUUGGCUAGAGUCCGGAAGAGGAGAGUGGAAUUCCCGGUGUAGCAGUGAAAUGCGUAGAGAUCGGGAGGAACAUCAGUUGCGAAGGCGGCUCUCUGGACCAGCACUGACACUGAGGCACGAAAGCGUGGGGAGCAAACAGG